rnacentral:miRNA from 1 species
CAACGAACCGAGGAAUUUU